GUUCUCGUUGAUGAUCGGUGCUUGCACCGAGAUUCAACAUGGAACGAGUGGCGGACGGGUGAGUAACACGUGGGUAACCUGCCCUUAAGUGGGGGAUAACAUUUGGAAACAGAUGCUAAUACCGCAUAGAUCCAAGAACCGCAUGGUUCUUGGCUGAAAGAUGGCGUAAGCUAUCGCUUUUGGAUGGACCCGCGGCGUAUUAGCUAGUUGGUGAGGUAAUGGCUCACCAAGGCGAUGAUACGUAGCCGAACUGAGAGGUUGAUCGGCCACAUUGGGACUGAGACACGGCCCAAACUCCUACGGGAGGCAGCAGUAGGGAAUCUUCCACAAUGGACGCAAGUCUGAUGGAGCAACGCCGCGUGAGUGAAGAAGGCUUUCGGGUCGUAAAACUCUGUUGUUGGAGAAGAAUGGUCGGCAGAGUAACUGUUGUCGGCGUGACGGUAUCCAACCAGAAAGCCACGGCUAACUACGUGCCAGCAGCCGCGGUAAUACGUAGGUGGCAAGCGUUAUCCGGAUUUAUUAGGCGUAAAGCGAGCGCAGGCGGUUUUUUAAGUCUGAUGUGAAAGCCCUCGGCUUAACCGAGGAAGCGCAUCGGAAACUGGGAAACUUGAGUGCAGAAGAGGACAGUGGAACUCCAUGUGUAGCGGUGAAAUGCGUAGAUAUAUGGAAGAACACCAGUGGCGAAGGCGGCUGUCUGGUCUGUAACUGACGCUGAGGCUCGAAAGCAUGGGUAGCGAACAGGAUU
rnacentral:rRNA from 1 species